rnacentral:tRNA from 1 species
AGCUCAGAUGGUAAAGCAUCUGCCUGCAAUGCAGGAGACCUGGGUUCGAUCCCUG